GGUGGAAUGGCCGAGUGGUCUAAGGCGACAGACUUAAGUUCUGUUGUGCGAAAGCACGCGUGGGUUCAAACCCCACUUCCAUCA
rfam:Colletotrichum orbiculare MAFF 240422 contig06372, whole genome shotgun sequence.